UACGUAGGGUGCGAGCGUUAAUCGGAAUUACUGGGCGUAAAGCGUGCGCAGGCGGUUCGUUGUGUCGGUGGUGAAAGCCCGGAGCUCAACUCCGGAACUGCCAUUGAAACUGUGAAACUUGAGGAUGAGAGAGGUGAGUGGAAUUCCCAGUGUAGAGGUGAAAUUCGUAGAUAUUGGGAAGAACACCGGUGGCGAAGGCGGCUCACUGGCUCAUUUCUGACGCUCAGGCGCGACAGCGUGGGGAUCAAACAGG
rnacentral:rRNA from 1 species